GGUCAAUGAUGUGAUGUAAAAGGUCUGACACCGUCGUCUCCUUCCAGUCCCUUUUCUUCCCUCCCAGCAGCUCCUCAUGAGUUUUCCCAGCACGCUGGAGUUGUGCGUUGCUGGUUUGAGGUGGCAGCUGAUAUUAUGGAUGUUUUUGCUGAAUUAAGAGUCUUUUGAAGAACUAGAGACUCGAAUCAGCAGCGUCCAACAUCAACGUAACACACAGGAGGGCGGGACUCAAAGAGAACGUAAAACCGGCCCGUGAUCUCAAGUUUUCAAGCUGAGACC